CGGCUGUAGUUCCCUAGCCACUAGUUUGGGGGCUGUAGGUUGGGGACUCGCCCAUAAAGAAAGGCCCAUCACAUGAUAGUAGCUUCGCGCCUCUUUCCUAAACCUUCUCGACACUGUAGAGAUUUCCAGCGGUCUAUCAGAAAAUGUUCAGAUUGCCGAGGACAACCAUGGAAGAAGCGAUUCAAACUCUGAAGAUCCUAACCGAUGGGCAGCCGUGACUCCUCGAAGACACCUUUAGACCUUUUCCUUGUCUUUUUUUUAAUUUUUUUUUAAACUUGGUUUUAAAAAAGAGUCAAUUUUAUAAUCCCUCAGGAAAAUACAAUUAUGAAGAUGUGGCAAUCUUACCUUCACAGCAGACCUCCUCUUAAGGUGCAUCUAGUGUAGUCAGUGAAAUGGCCUGGAAUCUACUGCGCUAGGUGCUCCUUCUGGAAGGAGGUACUGCACGAUCAGCACGUGGGACGCUGUCAGUAAUGCACCUGUGGGUCGAACCUGCGUGGGACCGCCCACGCACCUCAGCCCUGCAGAUGUGAUUUUAGCCUGUUCAUUCGGCGUGUAUGUUCUCUCAUCCUGAGUUUGUCUGGCUACCCUUUCCCAGACUUGCCCAGAAUGAUUUUGAGUUUCUGUGCUUGUUUGAAAUGGACUUACUGCCUCUGCAAAUCUGUGCUGUGAACAGUACUGUUUCUGCAAUCUUAUUUUGUAUUUAUUUUUGCGAAUCUUUGUCUCAAAUUAGAUCAGAUUGACAGUGAGUGUUUGUACUAGGGUGAUUUCAGCAGGAACAAAGUACUGAAGUGUACCAGCUGACUUGCUUCUGACGUCCUAGUCUCGUCCUCUAGAACUAAUCUUCCCUGCAGUUAAACAGUUCCCAUGUAGUUUGUAUCACUGGUUCAGGUCUAUGGUGGAGGGCUUUACCGGUAGGUUCCUGUUAAUCCUCAGGAAAACAUGCAAGUUUGAAUAUUUAUGUUUUGGGGAUCUUGGUUGAUAAUUUCAGCUUUAAGCAAAUAUUACUUUAUUUUUUUGUGCUCAAACUAUGAAUUAUUCACUGCUAACAGCACAGCUCUUGAGACAUCUGGCAGUAACUUUUGAAGUUUGACUGAUAUUCUACAACGGAAGAGUAAAUGAAUCAGAAAACAAGUGAAGUUGUAUGAUAUGGGCUCACCCUGUGAAAGACCCCUCAGCUGUAGUCUGUGCAGUUCCAAAGUGCUCACAGUGCAGGUAGUACCGUUAGCUCUACUGCAGUGUGUGCACUUCCAGUAUUGCCAGGCACCCUCCCCUGCCUGGCCACCAGCACAAUCCCCCCCACCGUUCUCUGGCUGUGUCUCACACUGGCAGGUUCACGGCGAGUUUUGCAGGAUUGCAUCCAGUUUGUGAAAAUCCCCGCUGUGCAAAUCCAUGCAAAACUCGUUGUGCCUGGGACUCUGUUGCUGGGAAGAAGUGACGUCUUAUAAAAUGCCAAAAAAAAUUGUGUUCAAGAUUCGCAGUCAUUGUCAGAAUUACUGUGAAGUAAAAAAAAAAAAAUUGUGGCUUUCUUUUGUCAGCUGCUUACAAAUGUGAGCACUGAAGUUUGGGUGGGUGCAUGCUGGGAUGCUGAAAUUGUUUGUCUCGCUGUUUCCGGGUGGAUGACUUUGCAAUUUUAAUGAAUCGUGAAAACCUCCAAAAAAAUUGCACGGUAUCCAUCUGUAAUCCGCCAGAUGUUCUGAUCUGCAGGGGUUUCUUUUUGUAAUUCAUCUUCCCUCUGCCUGUGCUGUUCGUGACUUUCAGAUGAAUGUGCUUGUUUUAAAUAAAUUGGUGUUAUUCUUUC